GACGUAGGGGGCCAGCGUUGCUCGGAAUUACUGGGUGUAAAGGGUUCGUAGGCGGUGCGGCAAGUUGGGAGUGAAAUCUCUGGGCUCACCCAGAGGCUGCUUCCAAAACUGCUGUGCUUGAGUGUGGGAGAGGCGCGUGGAAUUGCAGGUGUAGCGGUGAAAUGCGUAGAUAUCUGCAGGAACACCCGUGGCGAAAGCGGCGCGCUGGACCACAACUGACGCUGAGGAACGAAAGCUAGGGGAGCAAACAGG
rnacentral:rRNA from 1 species